rnacentral:lncRNA from 1 species
CCACCCUGCACCCCCACCUAUGUGUACCUGGCAGGGCAGCCUCUGCAAGGCUUGUCACCCAAACCACUGGAAGGUGGUGAUUCUGGGCAUUAGUGGGACACGAUCUGCAAAGACUCCCAGGGAAAGGGAAAGUCAGUUCAACAUGCUGAGGGCAGGAAGAGAGAGUGAGUGGAUGGGGUUGAAGGGAGAAACUUGCAGUCUCCACCAUGUGACAACCAUCCCUUACAGAAUCAAGUGCCCUGAAGCCCCAACCCCAACAACAUCCUAAAGUGUCUCCAAAUGGCUCUGGGCACUGGGGAUGAUGGACACUCUCUGAGAGCAAAGACUUCACCUCUCUGGGUCACUACUACAUCCUCAGUGCCGGAAAUAACGCUUUCUACAUAGCAGAUGUUCAAUAAAUAUUUGAUGCAUAAAUGAACGGGUAGAACACAAGCUGGUGCAUAUACAUAGAAUUAGACUUUUCCUUUCUUCCUCCUGCCCGCUUUAGAAGAAGAUAUGAUACUGUAUAUAUUAUUUUACAAUUUGAUUUUUUUCCACUAUAG